UGUAGGUCGAGGGUCACUACUUCAUAGGAGAGCCGAUAAAAAAAUUGUAUUGCUAGUACUACAUGGAUUGGGAUUAUGGUGCCUUGUUUAGCUACCUAGCUAGCUCCAUGUAUAAACAAAGUACUCCUUAAAGCUGACUGUUAGCUAGCUAGCAGAUGUUAGAUGGCUGACUCGCUAGCUAACAUUACGUUUAUGAUCUGUGUGUAGUAAUGUUAUCUCAGAAUGCCAUUUCGACAUUGCUAGUUGUAGCCUAAUGUUAGCUAGCUAACUAGCUAACAUUGAACCUAUUUGGUUGACUUUAGCUAGCUUUGACAAUUGGUUUGUAUCGCUAGUACUCUAUGGUUUAGGAUUAUGGUUCAUUGUUUAGCUAGCAUGUAUGAACAAAAGACUCGCCAGAUGAUUACACAACCCAUCGAGUUAACCUGUUGUGUCUGACGGUUGUAUAAUAAUGCCAAAAUAUUUGUAUCUGGAAUUUGUCUUUCAGCAUCAGUAGAACACGCCUGACUCUCCUCCACCAGUCAUACAAGGAGAAUGGUCUAAUGCCUCCCAUCAAAUAGAGAUCUGGCCAAAGCAAGCACAGGUUACACCUAAAGCGUGAGGACUUGCAGCGAGUGGUGAACUUCAUCAACAGCUACGCAGAGGAUAAUGCAAAAGUAUUACCAGGAAGCCACCCAGGACACAAACAGCUGCUGCCAUCCCAUGUGACAAAAGCAGCAGGGUGGCUUCUCUACAAGGAAUCGAUAACAUUUGGGCUGCUGCUCUGCACAUUUGCAGGUGCACUAUCCAUCUGAAUCUAUGCAGCUAGGGUCCCCCAUCUACUGUUCAACUCCUCCCAGCUGCAGUGGCCAAAACAAGAACAAGUUUGUGCUCUGGUAUUGUGCCUGGCAGACCAUGCACAAGCUGGACCACAGUCUGGACCUUCCUGAUCACAGGCCACACCAAGUUAGCCACCGACUGGUGCUUCGGCCUCAUCAAGCAGCGCUUCAGAAAGACCAGCGUCAACACUUUGUCUGAGAUUGCUGGUGUUGUGAAGGACAGCAGGGUGACAGUGGUCAACAUCCCACAGCUGGUUGGACUGGAGGAUGGUACAGUGUCGGUGGAAAGCUAUGGCUGGCAUAGCUUUUUUACAGCAUUUUAUGAGGAUUUUCUUCUUAUCUAAACUUGGGAGGUGAAUUGAUGUUGUCGUCUCAAUAUGAUUUGUUAUUUCCUAUUUUACAGCUUCGAUGCUCUGGAGCCUGGUGUUGUUGUCGCCAAGGAGCGUUCGGACUCAGUCAGGACCAGGUUUCAGCUGCUGUGCAAUCUGACAUCCUUCCUGCCUGUACAAGCACCACCUGGACUGGACACACCUCGACAAAUUUCGUUUUUGAGAAGAUCGGGGAGUUUUGCGACGAAAAGGCUAUGGACAUCACAUGCCCUGCACCAAAGUCAAGGGUAGGACAGAAACAGGCUCUCCGAAUACAGAUUCCCUUGUUCAUGCAUGGUUUGGACAGACCAGUCAUCAGCACUAUCUGCAGUGCCUCUAUUUAAAUGACUCUCUCCUAACACACAUGUACAUUGCUGCUACAAUUUUUUAAAAUCCUGCUGCUCAACCACUUUACCCCUGAUUGUAUGCAUAUAACUACCUCAUCUAUCACUGAUAUUGUUAUUGAUAUUGUUCAUACCAUAUUCAUAUUGACACAAUCUAUUUUGGAUAUUGCUACUAUAAAAGUAACCAUAGAGACCCAUCCACUUGGCAAGAUGUGGCUGGGGGUUAUAGCAUUUCUUUCACGUGACCCAUCAAUUUAGGCAAGUGUGUCUGGGUAAGCAUCAUUUAUUUAAUAAUUUUUUUAUUUAACUAGGAAAGUCAGUUAAUAACAAAUUCGUAUUUACAAUGACAGCCUACCCCGGCCAAACCCGGACAACGCUGGGCAAAUUGUGCACCCCCCUAUGGGACUCCCAAUCACAGCCGGAUGCAGCCUGGAUAUGAACCAGGGACUGCAGUGACACCUCCGGCACUACAAUGCAGUGCCUUAGACCGCUGCGCCACUCAGGAGCCCGUCAUCUAAAAUGUAUCUGGACACUUUCUGUUUAACUGGAAUUUUUCCUUAUUGUAGGCUACGACUUUUUCCACUUUUUGUAGUGUAGUAAUCUUUACUACACUACUCACUGUUUAGCACAUGACCUCACAUGUGAAUCAUUAAAGAGAUGGCUGGGGUUGGCUUAA